GUGUAGAUUUGGAUGGAAACAGUGUGAUUACAAGAAAUGAGAUGCAAUUCUUUUACGAAGAACAGUUGCAUCGGAUGAAAUGUAUGGCCCAAGAGCCCGUCCUUUUUGAGGACAUAUUGUGUCAGAUUGUUGACAUGAUUGGCCCAAAGGAUGAGGGGUAUUUUACCCUGCAUGACUUGAAAGGAAGCAAACUUGCUAGAAGCGUUUUCAAUAUCCUUUUCAACCUUAAUAAAUUUAUGGCC